rnacentral:rRNA from 1 species
AUGAACGCUAGCGACAGGCCUAACACAUGCAAGUCGAGGGGCAGCACAAGGAGCAAUCUGAGGUGGCGACCGGCGCACGGGUGAGUAACACGUAUGCAACCUGCCUGUAAGCGGGGAAUAACCCGUUGAAACGACGGACUAAUACCGCAUAAUACUAAAUUACUGCAUGGUAAUUUAUUUAAACAUUUAUGGCUUACAGAUGGGCAUGCGCAUGAUUAGCUAGUUGGAGAGGUAACGGCUCCCCAAGGCAACGAUCAUUAGGGGUUCUGAGAGGAAGGUCCCCCACACUGGUACUGAGACACGGACCAGACUCCUACGGGAGGCAGCAGUGAGGAAUAUUGGUCAAUGGACGAGAGUCUGAACCAGCCAAGUCGCGUGCAGGAAGAAUGUCCCUAUGGAUUGUAAACUGCUUUUGCAGGGGAAUAAAGUGCAUCACGUGUGAUGUUUUGUAUGUACUCUGCGAAUAAGGAUCGGCUAACUCCGUGCCAGCAGCCGC